rnacentral:lncRNA from 1 species
UCAAUAUGUAUCCUUGUUCCUGCCUUUAUUUUCUCUCCUCCCUGACAUGAUGUCAACUCCCUAAGUUUGAAUACCUUAAGAAACACUUGGAUGAACUGACUUCAAAAAAUAGACACUUGGAAUAUAUGAAUACAAAACUUAAAGAAGAAAUUAUGGAAUGUGACGAGCUGGAUCUAGAAGAUAAUUUAGAAAGAUUGAAAUUAAAAUACAAUUGGGUGGAACCAUAUACACCAAAGAUUAAAAUACAAGUGAAGCAGGAAACUGAAGAACUAAAUGAUCUAUUCUUACAGAUUCAAGACCUGGAAGCUGAAGUCUUAAAAAUGAAAAUCUCACAUCAAGAGACUAAAGCAAAACUAGAGAGAUGCAAAAAGGAUUAUUCUCAAGAAUAUAGAUUUACUACAAGUCCCUUUGUGGCGCCACUUCAUGACUAUGACUAUGAUAAUUAUUUGGGCCUUUCAGAAGGAAAUUCAAAAUAUUUUAUUGGAGAAAGAGACUUCAAUAAACGGCAGAGAAGUCUGCUUUGCAAAGGUAGUCAUUUAGA